UCACAGUGGGGGAGGGAGUAUCCCACGACACGCUAACCCUAAUUUUACGUUAUUCAGGCUCUUCAUGGAGCGCUCGUUGUUUUAUUGGCUGACUUUCAGCGGGCGGGAAGAGCACCGAGAGAGGCAUUCGGACCAAAAAUACGUCAGCCGGGGGGCUCUCCCUCCCCCAUGACCGUGCUCGGGCCCAGCGCCACGCUCCGGGCUGUCCGCGCAAUUCCCCGCCGCCGCCCCGACCCCUUCCAGGCCGUGGUCAGCCCGCUUCGGCAAUGCUGCCGCGAAGAGUUCGCCUCUGUAAGCCUGAUGGGGGCGGCGGGGCCGUGGGAGAGCCGGGGAGCGGCGCAUGGAGAGUAACAGGAGCCGCCCGAUCCCGGUCUGUCUGUCUGAGCUGUGACCAGUACAGACCGCGGCGGGCUCCGACACAC